rnacentral:lncRNA from 1 species
GGCCCGCCACUCCUACGCCAUCGUUCCGGCGCCCGUGGAGCGGGCGGACGACGAGGUGCGGCGUAUGUACGAGGCGUGGAAGUCGGAGCACGGCCACGGCCACGGCUCCGACGACCGGCUGCGUCUGGAGGUGUUCCGCGACAACCUGCGGUACAUCGACGCGCACAACGCGGAGGCGGACGCCGGGCUGCACACCUUCCGCCUCGGCCUCACCCCCUUCGCCGACCUCACCCUCGAGGAGUACCGCGGCCGCGCCCUCGGCUUCCGCGCCCGCCGCGGCGGCGCGAGCAGGGUCGGGAGCGGCAGCAGUUACCGUCCCCGCCCCCGCGGCGGCGACCUCCCCGACGCCAUCGACUGGCGCGAGCUUGGCGCCGUCACCGGGGUCAAGAACCAAGAACAAUGCGGUGCGUACACUCGGCGGCCGGUGCCAUGCACGCGUGCAAGCUCAACUGUGGGUCGUUCUUAUAUAUAUAUAUAUAUAUAGAGAGAGAGAGAGAGAGAGUUUGCAGUUAGUUAUCUGAUGAUGAUCAUCUCUGGGCCGGCGCCUCCGGCCGGCCGGCCGUCGUCGGGCAUGCAUAUGUUGCAGGUGGAUGCUGGGCGUUCUCGGCAGUGGCAGCCAUCGAGGGGAUCAACGAGAUCGUGACAGGCAACCUCGUGUCGCUGUCGGAGCAGGAGAUCAUUGACUGCGACACCCAGGACGGCGGCUGCAACGGCGGGGAGAUGCAAAACGCUUUCCAGUUCGUCAUCAACAACGGUGGCAUUGACACCGAGGCCGACUACCCCUACCUCGGAACUGACGCCGCCUGUGAUGCCAACCGGGUCGGUACUCAUGAGGGUUUGCAAAAAUUUUCAAGAUUCUCCGUCACAUCGAAUUUUUGGUCGUAUACAUGGAGCAUUAAAUAUAGAUAAAAAUAAAAACUAAUUGCACACUUUACCUAUAAUUUGUGAGAUGAAUCUUUUAAGCUUAGUUACUCCAUAAUUAGACAAUGUUUGUCAAAUAAAAACGAAAGUGCUACAAUAACCAAAACACAAAAAAUUUGCAAACUAAACAAGGCCUCAGUACUAUGCCGCCAAAAGAUGCUGCAGUAGGAGUAUCUACAAUUCAAUCAGUACUGACUGAUUGUAAUGGAGAGAUUUGCAUGCAUUGUUCAAUUAAUUAAUUGCAGGUAAAUGAAAGGGUGGUGACCAUUGACGGCUUCGUGAGUGUGGCCACCGAGAAUGAGACAGCGUUGCAGGAGGCGGUGGCGAACCAGCCUGUGAGUGUCGCAAUCGACGCAAGCGGACGUAAAUUCCAGCACUACACCUCGGUAAGCAUCAUCGAUGACGAAUUGACGAUCAAACGUGUGCCAAGAUCAGAUCAUCGAUCAGAUGGAGGUGUUAUCAAUUAAUUUCUGGCCAUGAACGAACUGCAUGCUGUCUUUAAUUACAAUCGUACGUGCAUGCGCAUUAAUUCAGGGCAUCUUCAACGGGCCAUGCGGGACGCAGCUAGACCAUGGCGUCACGGCGGUGGGCUACGGCAGCGAGAACGGCAAGGACUACUGGAUCGUGAAGAAUUCGUGGAGCAGCAGCUGGGGUGAGGCCGGCUACAUCCGCAUCAGGCGCAACGUCGCCGCGGCCACCGGCAAGUGCGGCAUCGCCAUGGACGCGUCCUACCCGGUGAAGAGCAGCUCCAACCCGGCAGGGAUGGCUGUGCUGAAAAUGGUUGCUUAAUUAGGCCUUAGGCUGGCAGCCGACUGAACUGAAGUUACUCGUCUCCACUAUAGUGUGUUGUUCUUAGUUGUGUGAUGAAUGACGAUGCAUGGUCUAGUUUAACUUUAUAUAUAUGUGUAUCACCGGAAGAAAUAAUUAAGUUAGUCCUCAUAAUAAAUUUGUGAUGUGUGAUAAGUUAAUAACUUAUUAUUGUAAUAAAACUUCUGUCUUUUUAGUAACCAUGGAUUAUCAUUCCGUUUUGCAUGGUUUUAUCGAUCUUUUUUUUUAAAAAAAAAAAAGGCAACAAGAGGUUUGUUGCAGAUAUAUAUUAGAAGGUAGAGUAUGGUAAAAGAGAAACGCGCUCGUACAUGCUCCAGACUGCUAAACAGCCUAGCCAUUUUACCAAACUCACCUUUAGAAAACACUCUAGAAUUAGUGUUAUUAUAUUCAUGUGGCUCUUAUAUACAAUAUAGACUAUAGACUGCAGCAAGACUACAACUACGAGGAUGGAGAAAAAUUAUUUUUACGUGUUAUGCGAAUUGCGAAAGAAAUUUGGAGACCUCCCUCCACCUAUUCAUCGAGUGUCCGUUCACGCGAACUGUCUAGAAGUUGGUGCCAGUUUGGAGCAACUGUCUAUGCCCGUCGAAAUGGACCGAGCACAAUCAAAUGGAAGAUUAUUGGUUUCUAGAAUUGAGUAAUAAGGGGAACAUGCCCUCGCUCUCCUAUCCGUUGGAUUCGCUUUGAGAAGUGUUCAAACAUACAUCUCAAAUUCGCAUUGAGAUGUGUGUUUGCACACUUCUCAAAGUGAAUCUAAUGGAUAGGAGAGUGAGGACACAUACCUUUAAGAGCAAAAUAAAUUUUACCGAACAAAAUGUCAUCCUGACUCUUAUGGCACGUCUGGAAGCAGCAAAAUGCAUCAGUGGUCUUCUGCGAAGAUCAAAGGACAACUAAACAAGUUUCAACAGGGAGAAGAGAUGAAUAUUCUCUGUGGGCGUCGGUGGGGGAAAUGUUCUUAGAACCAUAACGAUUGUAAACCAGACAUAGUAAAUAACCUAGUAGUUCCAAACCUCAUACAGCCGUCGGCUGCGUGAGGUAGCGCAACUUGCACUUAUAAGUUGUAAACUGUGAAUUCUUCUUAUUAAUGCAAUGUCGGAUAACCGGAUCUUUCAAAAAAAAUAUAUAACAGAUGAUUAGUUUGUACCACACUAAAGGAAUAACAUCGUUGAUCAUGGCCUCUCAUCCUCCAUCGUCACCUAAGAGCAACUCCAAUAGUUUUGCAAAUAGGUUUGGCAUUUUUGUUUUUUUUUUUUGCCCAAACUCUCAAAAUCUCCUAUCCAACAGUUUGCAAUUGAGUUUGGCAUUUAUAGCAAGUUGGCAAAUUCUCCUCCUUUCUUAGCAUUUAUGCACACCAAGAAUAGACUUGGCAUUCUGCAUGCGCGUGCUUUUAUAGCAAGCUGACAACCUGAUGCUUCUUCGUUGAUCUUUAGAACCAGUAGAAUUUUGUUUUUGCCAAGUCAAAAUUGCCAAACACUUGGAGAUGUCCUUUUUGCUCUCUCCCCAUAUCAUUUUGGGAGUUGGCAAAUAACAAUAUUUGUCAAACAAAAUUUGCAAAACUGUUGUGUAUCAAUGGAGGAAUAGUUGUACCACUGAAGGAACCACUACGCAAGAUUUUAUAUCACUGCCUCUACCACUACUACCUGGCGCACCCUAAUUAUUAUAACUGAAUACUAGUGACAUUAUCAUCAAUGUGGGGAAUUGGAAUUGUGAUAUCCUUUAGGUGUACCACUAAAGAAAUAAUUUGCACAAUGGAAGGAAGAACUCAGUUUGUUAGAUCCGCACCAGAUCUAGCCUAGCACCCUAUGUCCUAGGAUUGUGAUAUGAAAGAAUAGUUUGUACCGGUGAAGGAACAGCUCGGCUAUGUUAGGUUGCAUAGUGAAUUUGCCCAACUCGCUAUAUCCAUGACCAUGAGGAUUGCAAUAUCCUUUGGGUGUAUCAAUGCGUACUACUGAAGGCAUUGAAGGAAUAACGAAUAACCCAAUCAUGGUAGAUUGCACAAUGGAUAUAGCACAACUCGUUAUAUCCACGAGCCAGCGCCACAGUGGUUGCCUGACCUUUUAUGGUGUGUUCCCCCUUGUUGGGGAAAAGCUGCAUCCUUCUCCCUGGUAGCGCCGGAGGUUAUCCUUCACCUGAGGAACCUCCGACGUCUGGGACGUCGGAGGAUAACCUUCGACGGGGAAUACUAAUGUUGACGACUCGUCAGGUCAUGCAAAGUGUGCGCAGGAACUGAAGCACCGGCGGAGGUCCGCGAGCGAGGAAAAGGUUGGAACCUCCGACCCUCCCGAGUCCGAGGAUAACAGGAGAACGCAACCAGGCCGAGCAACCUCCGACCAGCCGGGCUGCGGAACCUCCGACACCGAAGCGUCGGAGGAUCCACAACUGGGCGGAGGCUCCGAGCCUUCGACCUGCUGAAGCCCAGUCGAAGGAUGAACAAAGAGUUUGCGACGUGAAAUUACGCGAGUACAUUGGGGUCAGUAGACUGCGAUGAAAGAAUAUGCUGGAAUAUUCCCCCACCGUCGCGGGGCAUUUAUGUAAAUGUCGUUGAGUCGGUCUCCGAGCCCUAUAUAAGGGGCGUGAUGCCGCCAUUAAUAGAGAGAGAGCAUUCACUGUAUUCACCUACUGUUGAGUCCACUGUCCGCUAUUGCUCAAGCCUCUCACGGCACCGAGUGAGAAGGUUCUCGAUCUACUGUACUGCUGGGGCGUGCGAAGAGCAUUUUCCCAACAUUGGCGCCCACCGUGGGGCCCGAACUAUAACCUGCGAUGGCUGGAAAGAGAACAAGCACCACAAGACCUCGGGGAGAGCCCUCCAGGAGAGGAAGGCCAAGGAGGGCCGUGCGGAGCACGUACGCGACCAUGGAGGGAGAAGGUUCUGAGGGCGAGCAGCCAGAGAACGAGCAGCCGGAAACACGCCAGGAACCUCCUCCCGCCGCAGACCCGGCGCAGCCCUCGGCCACGCAAGAGCUCCAGCAGCUUCAAGCGCAAUUGCGGAACCUUCAGCAAGAGCGAGACCGGAUCGCUGCUGCCUACGCCGCCAGCCAAGAGGCAGCGGUAGCGGCGACGCAAGCGGCUGAGAUCAGGCAGCAGCUUUCACUCCUGCAGGCAGAAAUCCUUAGCAUGCAACCCCCAGCUCAGCCAACAAUUCAACCCGCUGUUCUGAACAGCGCCGGCCCAACAUUAGAUGUGCAACCGACGAACUACGGCGGCAUGUUGCGGGGCACGUUGGACCUUCGUUCCCCUCUGUCCGAAGGAUUGCAGACCUCGCCUUGGCCAACGACUUACAAACCGAUCACGCUCCCUAAAUUCAGCGGAAAGGCCGAUCCGCGCCAAUUCCUGAUGAGUUUCGAGGCAGCCGUGGCCUCAGCUGGAGGGAACGAGACUGUGAUGGCAAAAUCCUUCGUGAUCGCAGCCGAGGGAGAUGCCUUAGCGUGGUACUCGAUGCUCAGACCCGGGUCGAUCUAUUCAUGGGAGAACCUUCGAGACAAGAUUUUGGCGAACUUCCAGGGAUUCGCGGUCGAAUCACUAACCUCCACAGACCUGUUCCAGUGUCGCCAGAGUCAGGGAGAGGCACUGCGGGAAUACUUCCAGAGGUUCGUGCAGACUAAGGCGAGAGCACCCGGUGUGCCAGAGGAGGUUGCCAUCGAAGCGGCCAUCAAGGGUCUUCGCAUAGGACCCUUCGCGGCUCAUUUGGCCAGAGAAAAGCCAACAUCCAUGCACGAGCUGUACCACGAGUUUGAGAAGUAUUGCAGGUCAGACAACGACUACCGCAAAAGGUUGGAAGACCAAAACUCUCAGAAGAGGCAGAGCAAUGAUAGAAAUUCACAGAAGAAGAACCUCGGACAGGAUGAACGCCGGCCACAGCGAGAGACUGGUGGACAGAUGAUGAAUAUCGAGCAACCGAAAAAUGACAGGCCGGAAAAUAACCGUCCACCAGUGGAGGCGCGGAGCUCGGAACGCAUACCCAAUCAAGCCGGAAGAGGGGGUCGAAAUGCGGGAUGGCGAAAAAAUCAAAGUCAGCGACCACGGAAACAGUAUUGUUUCUUCCAUGGAGAAGAGAAGGGUCACUCCACCAGAGAUUGCCCAGAUGCAAAAGAAACUCAGGAGAGGAUCAAGAGCAGGUCGGCUCCGCAACCUCCGAUACCAGUUGCUCAGCCUCGGGAAGUAAACCACACAUUCCCUCAAACCUUCUACCAUUCAUAUGUCGGAGGUUCAAGCCAGCAGCACCCAGCUCCACUUCAGCCCAGCGCGCUAGCCUCCGCUUACUAUCCCAGCUUCCUACCAGCUUGGCGCCCAGCCCAGCAAACCGCGGACCACAACCUUCCACCAAACUAUGUUCCUCCACGGCCUCCACAUAUUACGUACAUCGAAACCCCGCAACCCCACCAGCAGUCACUGCCUCCUCCCCCAAACCAGCUACAGCUACUCCAAGCCCCACCACAACCAAAAACCGAACCCCACCCUGAUAAUCAGAUCGGUCCCCAUACACCCCUCCCCACAAUUGGAAUGAUCUUACCAAUAGCCGGGGGGUCCUCAAUGGAGUUCCAGACAAAAAAACAGAAGAAGGAUCACCUCAGGCUCGUCAACAACGUUGCAGUUCAAGGGCCAGUGAGAUGCACUGAUUGGUCCAGAACCCCAAUAACCUUCACCGAGGAAGACCUAAGAUUGGAAAGCUACCCUCACACAGACGCCUUGGUCAUAACAACAAAUGUUGCGGGUUGGGGGGUAAGCAGGAUCUUAGUGGAUUCAGGGAGUUCCGCAGACAUAAUAUUUGCUGGAACCUUUGACCAAAUGAAGCUCAGCAGAAGCCAACUCCAACCUUCGGAGUCACCUUUGAUCGGGUUCGGAGGAAAACAGAUACAUGCUCUGGGAAAGGUUGCAUUGCCCGUAUCCUUCGGCACAACAGAGAACGCAAGAACAGAGUACGUCACCUUCGAUGUGGUAGACUUGCACUACCCAUAUAAUGCCAUAUUCGGGCGAGGAUUCUUGAACAAGUUCAAUGCGGCCGCUCACAUGGGAUACCUCUGCAUGAAAAUCCCAGCUCUGCACGGAGUGAUAACGGUUCACGGAAGUCAAAAGGAGGCAAGGAACAUAGAGAAAGCAAUCUACAAGUCCUUCCGGAACGUAAACUCCGUAGACUCUACGCAGCAUGAAGCUUCCCAGCCGCCAGACAUGCCAAGGGGGAAAACAGACCUGGCUGAUCAGGAGGAAACGAAGUGUAUCCCUCUGCAGGAAGCUGUUCCAGAUAAGAAGAUCACCAUCUCCGCCACCCUUGGCAGAGAGGAGGAACUCGAAUUGCUAGACGUAUUGCAAAAGAACCAAGAUAUCUUCGCUUGGAGUGCCGCUGACCUACAAGGAGUCAGCAGAGACAUAAUAGAGCAUUCGCUGGACAUCGAUCCGAGAAUGAGGCCGAAGAAGCAGAGGCAGAGGAAAAUGUCUGAAGAAAGAACCUUAGCCGCGAAGGCAGAAGUACAAAGACUCCUGGACGCAAAGGUCAUCAGAGAAGUCAUAUACCCGGAAUGGUUGGCAAAUGUGGUCUUGGUCCCCAAGAAAAAUGGCAAAAUGAGAAUGUGCAUAGAUUUUACAGAUCUCAACAAGGCUUGUGUCAAAGACUCCUUCCCCUUGCCAAGGAUAGAUACCUCUGUGGACAAAGCAGCCGGUUGUCAGAGAUUCUCACUGCUGGACUGUUUCUCUGGUUACCACCAAAUUUGGCUCAAAAAAGAAGACGAAGGAAAGGCAAGCUUCACGACCCCAUUCGGCACGUAUUGCUACACCAGAAUGCCAGAAGGUCUCAAAAACGCUGGAGCAACCUUCUCCAGAAUGAUGGGGAAGGUUCUAGGAAGUCAGCUACAGAGGAACAUCAUAGCCUACGUCGACGAUGUUGUCGUCAUGAGCAAGCGCAAGGAAGAUCAUAUCAAAGACCUGCAGGAAACCUUCGUCAACCUUAGAUCUGCCGGGCUGAAACUCAACCCGGAGAAGUGUGUAUUUGGGGUCAGCAAGGGAAAAAUGCUGGGGUAUAUCAUCAGCUCCGAAGGAAUUAGAGCUAACCCAGACAAGACAAAAGCAAUCAUGUCAAUGGCAGAACCUUCAAACAAGAAAGAAGUGCAAAGGCUGACUGGCCGAAUAGCAGCACUCAACAGAUUCAUCUCGAGAUCGGCAGAACGAAGCCUCCCAUUCUUCAAAGUGUUGAGAGGAGAAGGUAAAACAGAAUGGGGUCCGGAACAAUCAGAGGCCUUCAGGCAUCUCAAAAAUUACAUUGCGACCAACCUGGUGGUGACAGUGCCUGAGCCGGACACCCCACUACUACUGUAUGUGGCUGCCUCCAAUCACGCUGUCAGUGGUGUCCUGGUGCACGAGACAGGCGACAGUAAGGGAACGGUGCAAAGACCCGUCUACUACGUAUCUGAAGCUCUAUCAGGGGCAAAACUGAACUACACGGAGAUAGAAAAAAUCGCAUACGCGGUCCUGUGUGCAUCAAGGAAGCUCAAGCAUUACUUCCAAAGCCAUGAGAUUAAAGUGCCCACUUCACAGCCACUGGGUGAUAUCCUUAGGAACAAAGAGGCUUCCGGACGUAUAGGAAAAUGGGCGGCCGAACUAUCACAGUUUGAUAUCACCUAUGUCCCCAGAACCUCCAUCAAAUCUCAAGCCCUGGCUGACUUCAUGGCAGAUUGGACACCUUCGAACAAAAACGAGGAGAAGGUAGUCGAUCAGCCGUGGACGCUGUAUACAGAUGGCGCCUGGGGCCAAGCGGGAGCAGGAGCAGCAGCCGUUCUAAUCGCACCAUCUGGACUCAAACUAAAGUUUGCUAUACGACUUGAAUUCAAAGCAACAAACAACAUAGCUGAGUAUGAAGGUCUCAUCCUCGGGCUGAACAAGGCUAAGGCUUCGGGAGCAAAAACCCUACUCAUCAAAACAGACUCCCAGGUGGUGGCAGGACAAGUGGAGAAGGAAUACCUAGCACACAACCCGGAGCUGGCAAGGUAUCUGGCCGUCGUAAGAGGCCUGGAGAGAAGGUUCAAGGGAUUCACUCUGCAGUACAUUCCAAGAGCCGAAAACUACGAAGCAGACGAGCUAGCGAAGGCAGCAGCCAACAACACCCCCUUGCCAGAAGGAACCUUCCACCAGAUUGUUACAACACCCGCAACCGAAUCGUUGCCAAAAGCCUUUCGCUCAGUCCUGCUAACAGAAAGCGAAGAUUGGAGGCAGGCAAUAACUGAUUGCCUCAAAGGCGAGACAGCUGUAGAUGACGAAGCAACAUCCAAGAGGAUGGAGGCAAGAGCAAGGAAUUACACCUCCAUUGACGGGAUCCUGUACAAGAAAGGCGUAGUCCAACCUUUGCUGAGAUGCAUAUCACAAAGCGAGGGCAGAGAACUCCUACAAGAGAUACACUCAGGGAUGUGCGGGUCUCACAUUGGACCCCGCGCGUUGUCUGCUAAAGCACUAAGACAAGGCUUCUACUGGCCAACUCACAUUAAAGAUGCUGAAGAAAUAGUGAAGACAUGCAAAGCCUGCCAAACCUUCUCACCAAUUCAGUCAGGACCUUCAGCACCAACUCAACUCAUACCAGCAUCAUGGCCGUUGCAGAGAUGGGGAAUGGACCUGGUAGGGCCAAUGCCAACUGCCCAGGGGGGAAACAAAUUCGCAGUCGUGGCCAUCGAAUACUUCACAAGAUGGAUCGAAGCUAAGCCACUGGCAACCAUAACCUCUGAAACAAUCAGGAAAUUUUUCUGGCAGAACAUAGUCUGCAGAUUCGGAGUCCCACGCUUGCUCACAGUUGACAACGGGAAGCAGUUUGAUUCAGACAGUUUCAAGGAAUUCUGCCAUCACAUAGGAACCAAAAUUGCUUUCGCAUCUGUUUACCACCCAGAGUCAAACGGGGCCGUAGAGAGAGCAAACAGAACAAUAUUCUCCGCAAUCUCCAAGACCUUACUCAACCUACGCAAGGGGAAAUGGGUUGAAGAACUACCAAGAGUUAUAUGGUCACAUAACACAACAGUUUCAAGAACAACUGGGUUCACUCCAUUCAAACUCUUGUACGGGGAAGAGGCAAUGUUGCCCGAAGAAAUCAAACACCAAAGCCUGCGUUCCAUGAAGCAGCAGUUGGCUGAAGACGAAGAGUACUGCAAGGAAACCUUAGAAUCAAUAAGACUUGAGGCAGUGGAGAACAUUACCAGGUAUCAACAAGAAACAAAGAAUUGGAGAGACCGCAAGGUAGUACGAAAAGACAUACAAAAUGGGGACCUGGUGCUCAAGAAAAAAGGAGAUCACCCAAACGCUGGUAAAUUGCAACCCAAGUGGGAAGGACCUUAUACAGCAAUACAAGCGGGAAGGUCGGGAUCCUUCUACCUGAAAGACCUCGAAGGUAGAACCUCCACCCACACGUGGAACGUCGACAAUCUACGUAGAUUUUAUAUUUGAGUGUAAGGAUGACCCCUGCAAAAUAAGCGGCGGCACCCACAUCCCUAAAUACGCUUGUUUUCUUUUUCUCUACUUUUUCGCAUUCCAAGGUCUGCACUCUUUUCCUCACAGGGGUACUCCUACCAGGAGGUGAGGUUUUUAACGAGGCAGAACCUAUGUAAAAACCUCUGAAUUAUAAAGAGGAAUCCACCCCAGAACCAAAUCCCAAAAGUCGAAAAACAGCCAGCAACGAGGCUGUAGCAUUCGACAAAACAUCACGUGAUCACAAGGACCCUCCGUAGCUUUCAUCCAAAAGCUAAGAAAGCUCGGAACGUCCUCAAAGGUGAAAAAAAACACCAAAUCCUUAGCAAAAGACCUAGCCAAGAGCCGGGCAGCAAGGAUAACAUGGCCAAAAAGUGAAAAAGUCCUGUCCUCCUCAGGCAUCACAACAUGGCCAGAAGGAACAAAACCUUCAAACCUGACAAUGACCUGAGGAGAAUCAGGCAUCAGGAACUAUAUUAUUUUUGCCAAAAGGCAGCGUAGGUUUAACAUUCAAAGGACAGACCUCAACAAAAUCCACAUAACCUUCACCAAAAUAAGGUUGAAGGUAUCCUGCUACUCCAAGCAGACCCCCAACAAACAAAGUGUGAAAUCAAAACGAAACUACAAUAACCCUCGGUCAGAUACAGCCAAACCAACUACCACAACAACCAUCAAUAACCCGAUAAUAAAUUUUAACCUAACAGAGUACAUAAAAUAAAUGCAUGAAAGCCUAUAAAACCAGGCUCACCCUACCCCCACCCUCAAUCAGGAUCAGCAUACAAAGACCCGAGCACCAAGUGCAAACCUAGCAGCCAAAAAGCAAAAAUCCUAAGCCACCAUGGAAGCAGGAGUUAGCCUCACAACACCAACAAAAGUUUGUAUCGCACGAAGCUUCGUAAUACUAGAACUACGGCGUUGUGAUGAACAUCGACCACAAAGUCGUGUACAGCCACAACAGAAACAAUGGAAGUCAGACUCAGAGGUCUCUGAAGGGUAUCGCACGAAGUCUCGUAACAUCCCUUCAGAACCUCCGACUUAGACAGCCGAAGGUUCUCCUCGACAACACUCCACGGGAGUCGAGCAAAGGAAAAAAAUAGCACAAUUCAGCGAAGGAUCCUUCGCGCCAAAAAAUUCGAAGGUUCUAAGCCCAAGAAACGGCGAUCCUCCGCGCAAGAAAAAAUCAACAACUCCUUCGCAACAUCAAGCAUCAAGAACAAGCAAGCCACAGCAACACAAAGAUCCUUAGGAUCAACACCACCGUAACGUUGCAACAUAUAAGUGCUGUAGCGCGAAGGUUGUAAUAAAAAUGAGAUCGAAGGUUGUAGCAAACUUAAAAACUUUAUUAUCGAUGAAGAAAUCAUUACAAAAGUUCGUUUACAAAAAAUGAAUAAACUCAUCCUUCGACCCAUAAAAAGUCGAAGGUUGCAGCGAAGGUUGCAGGUAGCUUGUACAAGUUCAACUUACAGAUCCUCCUUCAGCUAAACAACCGAAGGACCUAUGAGUCACGUACAAAUUAUAGCGCGAAGGUUGUCAAAAUUAAAAGGUGCGAAGACCAUGUAGUAAAAAUGUCUGAUCUUUAUUAACCGUAUACAAUGUACAUAACACAAGCUUACAACAAAAAACGAGAAACAUCCUCCGACCGUAAAACUCCGAAGGUUCUAAGACCCUCGCACAAUUCUAACAUACGAAUCUGGAAAAAGCCUAAGAUCAUCACAGUAAUCACGUACAAGGAAAUCAACUAAGUCAUCUAUACUACGCGUAGGAUACUUGUGGCGCCACCAGUCAAUUAAAUAGCCCCUCGCAUACAAAUCUCCGCGCUUGAACGUCACCGGGGUAACGUAACUUCCUUCGACAAAGUUCGAAGGAAGAUCUUCCAACGGAGAGGAAUUGACAACCUGCGCGCAGAAAAUAAUAACUUCAAAUCCAACAAAAACGAAGGAUAAAACUAAAAAUCCAAACGAAGCUUUCGAACCUCCGGAAAACCUUGAAGAAAAGGCUCAGCAACAUCCUCAGAAGCCUCCGCCACCCAACGUACCCUAUCUCUCUCACCAAAGAUGCGAAGGAUAGGAUAUGGGAACUACAUAAACACAUCAAAUCAUGUCAUAAAAAAUAUAUAACCAAAACCUACGAUAAACGAAAAGAAAAUCAAAAUCAUCAACCUAAGCCGGAGGCCAUGAACCUCGGCGCGCUAGCGACCGGAUAAACCCAGAGCCUUCGCCAUCAAUAUCAUAUCCAACAAACUCGAACAUGUCCACCAAUCUCAUAUUAGGGAAGGCAACUUGCCAAUACUCCCACAAUUCACCAGAAACAUAAAUCCCUUUGUAAAAAAACGAAAGGGGAGUAAUGAAACGAUCCUGCGCAGGUCCUCCGCCAGAGACCUGCGCAGGAUCAAAGUGUAAAACAAAGGCUUAUCUGAAAACAACUCAAUAUAUUAUAUUUUAAACAGUCUUUACAAAAUAAAGCACAACCUCCGGCCUUACUUACAAAAAAAGCGUCACACACUUGGACGCAAAAAAGACUAAGAAAAACCUAAAAACUAAAAAGCCUCACACCUGAGGCGGAGGAGGAGCAGGAGCUUCGGGAGUCUCUGAAACCUUAGCACCAGAUCCCUCCGGAGCUUUGGCACCAGUAUCACGAGCCUCCGCUUCGGGCUGGGUCGGAGGGCACGCCUCACUCGGGAGACGCGAAGGUCCGGCCUUGACAACCUUAGCCUUCUUCUUCGCAAUCUCCUACAAAAUACCAAACUUAACUAACAAUGCAAAGAUGCGAAGCAAAGUACAAAAAGAAAAACAAAUAACCAAACAAUACAAACCUCAGCUCGACGAUCCUCCGCCAUUUUCUUCGCCUCACCCCGCCCAAACCUAAUCCAGAACGAACUGAUGAAGUUCCGGACAGAUUUGCGCAGGGAAGAGGUCCCUUCGCCAACGUCCUCCGCCGCGGCAAAAUCCUCCUUGGCAACUCCCUCCGCGUGAGAGCAACCUCCGCGGCGCAACAGCCUCGCGAAGGAGCUAACCGCGGCCAAAGCCCCAAAAUCAACAGCACCUCCGACAAAGUCGGGGAGCAUGCGGAUAUGAGACUUCAGCCACGCGAGGGCAGCCCCAACAUCGCCGCCAGGCGGAGGAGCAGAGGUGCUUCCCCCAAACUUCGCAAGCGAUUCGGCAUAGAGCUCGACAAUAGCUGCAGCCUCCGCUUCCGCCUUCCGCAUGCGAGUCUGCAGCUCAGCCGCAGACGUCCGCUCAGCGUCAAGCUCUUUGCGAAGGCGUUCAGCAAUGUCCUCCGCCUUCUCAGCUCGCUGCAGGGCUACAUCCCUAACUCUCCCCGCCUCAGCAACACUUGUGCGGAGGACCGCCACAGAAGCUUCGGCAUCCUCCUUCUCCUUCCUUAGAGCCUCCGACCCAGCCUUGUAGUCAUCCCUCUCCUUCUUUAGGGAGUCAACCUCCCUCCUGACGGAGGAAAACUCCCUAACCUCCUCCGACAGACGAGCCUUCUCAGCCUCCAGAGUCUCGUUCUCCUUCUUCAGAACACCAAUUGCCUCAUCACGGCAGAUAACCUCCCGAGAGCAACGCUCCUCUAAGGCUGCAGCCAUGUGAUGACCCUGCGCAAAAAUAAAUAGUUACAACAAACCUCCAAGUGAAAAAACCGCGAAGGAAGAUUCGGCAAAGUGCAAACUUACAAGGCUAUGGUGCUCAUAUUGCACGCGAAGGAGCGUGUCAAAGUCCAUGCCGCGAAGCUUCUGACGAAAACGAUCUGUAAACCAAAAACAAUUGAGAAAAAACAUCGUAAGAAACAAAAAACCAUUGGCGGAGGCCAGAACACUAACCUCCGACCAAGGAAUGAACCUCGCGCAAGGCAUCAGUCCAACCUGUGAUCGAAGGUUCAGAAGCACCUGCACAUAACAAAAACGAACCUUAGAAUAAAAUGACAAAAACAAACCGAACCAUUGAAACCAAAAAAGAGGAAACUCACCAGGACCAAGAACAUCAGCAGGCGAAGGCCUGUUGGCCAAUGCGGAGGGCGCAGGCUCACGCGGCGGAGGAACGGCAAGCCCCUCCUGCGCGACGCUGGCGCCCUUAGCCAUUUCCUCCGCGGUAGCCAGCCCAGUAAAAACCUCCGCUGAAAGAUAAACAAAAAAACAUGAGAACAAGUCAAUCAAAACUUGCAUAAAAACAAAAUAAUCAAUAAAAAAUCAUUACCCAUGUAUAACGAGUUAAUACCGUCACCAGCCGGACAAAGGGGAGCCUCCGCCCUCCUGAUCCUCCGAACGGAGGCGGACUCAGCCUCGUCGCUGGACUCCACCUGAACCUCCUUAGGCGGAGACCCUCCGCCAACCGAAGCAACGCGCGGACCCUCUGACUCCGCAGGAUUCGCCUCCCGCACAGGGCUCGCCACGGGGGCCUCCGCGUCAGAGGACUCCUCCCCAAGCAGAGACGCGAAAGGCGCGCGCACAGAGGAAACCGCACGCGAAGCUUCAGCUUCAGGAGCUCCACCAGCAUCAGCUUCAGGAGCCCCACCAGCAGCAGCAGCCUCCGCAGGCGCAGAAGCUACCGAGUUCGACUCGGCACCAGAUGAGCGGGCGGAGGAAGACUCCACAGGAGUCUCUAGCACAACCUCCGCCCUCCGCUUCUUCGCAAGCUGCUUGACUGCGCCACCCCCUCUCCUCUUCUUCGACUCCGCCAAAGCGACAGCCUUCGAGGAGUCCUUCUUCUUCUCCAACCCAAGCAAAACAUCCGGAGGAAUAACAUAAUCCUCGUACUCAAUCCCCAAUUCCUCAAAAACGCGGUUAAACCGGGGCAUCGUCCCAAGCGCAGACCUCCGCUGGAGAAACUCCUUCUCCGAGAUCUUCCCGACGAUCCUCCGCGCAGAUACCUCCACGCGAUCAAGGAAGGACUCCUUGGUCUCAUCCUCCGGAAUACCCGCGCCGAACCGGGGAAACGGCAACCCCUCCGGAGGACCAAACACAGGAACUUGCACCAUCUCAAUGGUGAACUCAUCGGUCCUGCGGCCAAGUGGCCAGUAGUCAGCAGCGACCAUUUCCUCAACCAAAUCCCGGCCUCCGGAGUAUCGGCAUGCCAACGCAAAUGCCUUGUCACAAGCAACUCGUUCCUCCGACAUCUCCUGCGAAGGAUCAACCUUCGAAAAAGGCUUCAGCUCCUUCAUCAGCGACGCGUAAGGAUAAACUUUGUCAACGCUGCCGUCAUCCAAAGUCUUCGACGCAGCGGGGGUCCUCACGUAGAACCAAGCUCUCAUCCAAUCCUUCUCCCACUUCCCCUUUUGGCAGUAGGAGAUUUCGCACCUCGGCCCAGGCAUUGUGCGGCGCGGCAUGAACGCGCAGCUUCCGAACUGCGCAAUACACUCGACACCUUCGGCAUCCUUCACCUUCUUAGGCUGGCGCUGGAGCUCAAAGUACGAGCAGAAGGUGUCGAUGUGGGGCAUGGCUCCGUAGGAUUCGCACGCCCACGCGAAUUUGCUAAGGGUCAGUAUCCCAUUGGGGCUGAAAUGCUGCAGCUCCACGUUGAAGCUCUCCAUCACUUCGCGAAGGAAAUGAUACGGAGGCAUGCGAAGUCCGCAGGUGAAGAAGUCCCUGAAUACCACCGCAUACCCCUCUUCGGGCGCAGGCACCGUCUGACCAGCAGGAGGAGCCUCCGCACGACCUUCCUUGAAAAAUCUAGCCUCAACCAUGUCAGCGAUAUCCUCCGCCCUCACAGUCGACUGCCCGAAUUCAAAAGUAAUCGCCGCCAUCCCCUCAAACUCCUUCGCACUUAUCAGAUCACCAACAGAAGCUUCGACGUCAGACAACGUCUCCUCCAGAUCUUGAGCUUCGGCCGCCUCAAGCAUCCACUCCUCAAACCUCCGCAGCCAACCUCCAGACCUCACGCUAAGAAAAUUGCGCAAAGGACCAGAAAAAUCUGACCUCGAAGGACGCGGUGAAGGAAGAUGAGCCACCGUAAAACCUCCGACAACACUUGAACUAAACGCACGCAAGCAACUCAGAGAGAAAAACGUAGCGAAGGAAAGUGUGCAGGCAAUGAGCAGCAGGGGUGAGAGCUCAGGGCUCCCCAGCACCUCCUUUUAUAGGGGGGGGCCUGCGACCGCGCGGCCGUUGCGAUUCCCCGCGCCCAACGGCUAUAAGCGGAGGAAUCGGGCAGACCGUUGCGCUUCAUCAAUGCCAACGGCUAACUCCAACGGCAAUAAUAUCCUCCGCAAUCCUCCGCAAUCCUCCGCAAUCUAACGAGCGUAGGAUACUUAACAGCAAUGAUCGAAGGAUCCCGGCAAAAUAAAGAAACAAGAAAAAUUACGACUAAGUGAAAGAAACAGUUAUCCAACAUUUGCUAACAAGCACAUCCUGCGCACCAGGGGGGAAGGCAGCAACCAUGCUCGUGACCUCCGCAGCGUAGCAUGUUUUUGAGCGCAUGGACCGCAGGAGUGCCAUUAGCCCAAAAAGGGGGGAACUGUUGGGGAAAAGCUGCAUCCUUCCCCCUGGUAGCGCCGGAGGUUAUCCUUCACCUGAGGAACCUCCGACGUCUGGGACGUCGGAGGAUAACCUUCGACGGGGAAUACUAAUGUUGACGACUCGUCAGGUCAUGCAAAGUGUGCGCAGGAACUGAAGCACCGGCGGAGGUCCGCGAGCGAGGAAAAGGUUGGAACCUCCGACCCUCCCGAGUCCGAGGAUAACAGGAGAACGCAACCAGGCCGAGCAACCUCCGACCAGCCGGGCUGCGGAACCUCCGACACCGAAGCGUCGGAGGAUCCACAACUGGGCGGAGGCUCCGAGCCUUCGACCUGCUGAAGCCCAGUCGAAGGAUGAACAAAGAGUUUGCGACGUGAAAUUACGCGAGUACAUUGGGGUCAGUAGACUGCGAUGAAAGAAUAUGCUGGAAUAUUCCCCCACCGUCGCGGGGCAUUUAUGUAAAUGUCGUUGAGUCGGUCUCCGAGCCCUAUAUAAGGGGCGUGAUGCCGCCAUUAAUAGAGAGAGAGCAUUCACUGUAUUCACCUACUGUUGAGUCCACUGUCCGCUAUUGCUCAAGCCUCUCACGGCACCGAGUGAGAAGGUUCUCGAUCUACUGUACUGCUGGGGCGUGCGAAGAGCAUUUUCCCAACACCCCUAUCAAUUUUCAAUGUGAAAUUAAGCCCAACAACAAUUCCCUUUCAAGAAUAAAUCAAGCACAUGUGCCAUGUCAUGGCAGAUUUAACAUGGGUGAAUAAGUUCCGCCACAAGAAACUCAAUCAACUAAGUCACUAUGCUUAUUCCACACCUUAUUGAGUUAUCAGCUUGUUUAAUGUAGAAAAAGAAGAAGUGGAGAAGCCAGCAUUUAUGGAAACAAGUCUUGAGCAUAGAGCUCUCGAGAGCGCUUACAUGCGAAAAACUGAUUUGCUCAUUUAGAUAUCACACCACCUGCUUAUGUAUCAAUAAUGUUAAUCUCAAAGUGAACUCUUCAGUUCAUCAUAUUUUUAAUUUUAAUACUCCGUUCAUUUACGAAAGAAUACAAUUCAUAAUUUUUGAGAAUUCAGUCGAUUUAAAAUUUAACUAAAAUUAUAUAAAGAUGUAAUAACAUUCACGAUUAAGUAUUAUUAAAUUUAUUAUGAAAUAUAUUUUUAUAGUAAAUCUAGUGGCAAACAAAUGUUAAUACUACAUGCAUGCACUCGUUUCGGUGGGGUUGCAUGCAAUCCUCUCUAGGCAAUCAACGCAACCAGCGUCGCGGGCGUGCGAGAGCAGUAGUCGUAGAAACCGACUCAUUUUAGGGCUAUAUAUGAGUAGUAAGGCUAAUCUUAGGGUACGUUUGGAUUUUUCAAUUAAACUUUAGCCAGCUAAAUUUAGCUGCCAAAGGAUCUAAACGACCUAGAUAAAAGACUAGCUAAUGUUUAGCGAAGUUUAGCUGCUUCAACCCGGCUAAACACAGCCAAAAUUUAGCUAAGCCUAUUAAUUGGAGGAACCAAAUAUCCUAAUUAAGUUUAGCUGGGUGUAUACUUAUUGACCAGCUCGGUCGGGCACGAUGGGCCGACCUAGGCACAAGACUAAUAAACACGGCCCAAGCACGGCACGGCCUGGCUCACAUCAUGCAUGUGCCACCUGGCACGGCUCGGUGGUAGUGUCGUGUCUAAGCCGUAACUCUAGUCUGCAAUGCCAGCGUGAGCACGGUAUGAUUACUAGGCUGGAACGAUGUGACCCAUUUAUUCUCCACCAUUAGAUGAGCACUAAUGAAUCAAAGCCAUUGGAUACUAGUAUAUAAGCAUAUCUCCCUAAUUUCCUCCCUCUCUAGUUUCCCGACCCUCCGCCCUCACCUUCCUUCACCCCGAUCACUGCCACCCCACCACCGACUGCCUUGCUCGGCACCCCGUCUGCUCCCCACUCUCCAGGUCGACAAGAUCUGCAGCGGUGCCCUAGGUGACGACAUCGGCGCGAGGGUUGUGUGGCAUGGCGGCAUCACGGGCGCACAACGACGACACGUGCUGAUGGGCACUUGUUGGCAACGUCACGGGGCGUGUGGCUGCUUGGCGCAAAGAUGGUGCACGGUGGGCUAUGGCUGGCACAAGCACUAUGGGCCGCUGUGCCUAGAAGCAUGGCAUUGCAUGGCUAAAGCCUCGGUAGUGUCGUGCUUGGGCCGCAACCUUGGCACAGCAGACACAGCACGGCUAGGGCACCGUGUCAUAUAGUGUCAUGUCGUGCAGCUCGGUUGGCCAUGUAUAUAUAGCUAGGAAAACAUUUAGUUUUGAAAUUUUAGCUAGCUAACUUUAGUAGCUGGAUUUAAAUAGGGUCGUGGAUUUCAUGCGGUGGUGUUAUAAAAAUUGUCACGUCAAUUUAAUUUUAUAUCAGUAAUUAUGAUAAAACUCUCUCUAUUUUACAAUUGACUUGUCAAGUCAUUAAAAAUUAAAACUGCUGAAUCUUCACUCGAACAAGUCUAAAUAGGUUAACGAGGAAUUAAUAGUCCUUAGUCUCCAUUAAAAAUUGUCGUGCGCUUGUAAAUUCUAGAUGGAGUACUAGUUAAAUUUUUUUAAAAAAAAUAUCACUCUAUCACCACGUGCUGGCGGACGUGAAGCAUCCGGUUUAAUUUUUCGUGGAAUCGGCGUCGAGCCACGACGCAAACGUCAAGAGCUGCGUGCCCAAAUGUGAGACAGGAUCAGAUGGGCAAGGAAAAGCACCCUGUUUGCUGCCCGGAACGCCCGCCAUUGAUGGCCUCCUCGUGCCUUCGUCCGUCGUCUCCUAUUCAUCAGUCGACAAGAUGCUUUAAUUACCGCACGUUUCUGCAUAUGAAGAAGAGAUAGCUAGCUCUUGUUGCGCAAAAGGGAAAUAAAUAAAGCUAGCUAGAGAGAGCUCGUAGAAAGGCGUUGCCCAACAAAGCGUCGCCGUGCAUGGGACGCACUCCACAGUCGGAGUCGGAGCCCGGCGCCGCCGCAAGUACAAGCGGUCUCACCGUCCGGCUCCGGCCGGCGCGCACAAGGUAUUGGACGUAGGCAGUUGCACGCCUGAGCGUAUAAUCGAGUGGUGAGAGUGCACGACGGUGCCAAUCAGGAUAUCGUUUGGCAUGCAGUAGACAGUAUAGUGGUGGUGCCGUUUAGAAUAAUGGCGCCAAAAGGAUGCUCAACUUGGAGUAAAUAGUGUGCCUCUCCUUGAGUAUUAGUGAUGGCUAACACCAGUCUCAAUGGAGAGUUUCAUAGUGUUGUUUGUAAGAUUGCUAUGUCAUAUAAAAUAAAAUGAAAUUUGGAUGAAACACCUGUUCUCAAUGGAGAGUUUCAUUCUAUAGCUUAAUAGAUAUUUAAUUUCAAGAUUUAUAGAGAGUUGGUAAUCGUGACAUACUUAUUUCUUCUCUCUUCUUAAAUACACUACUAUGUCAUCCAAAAUAUCUAUGUGACAGUCUAUCUAAUAUGAAUGAAAUUUAGAUGAAACUCACUUAGACUGGCUAAGCGGCUGCUGUGUAGUAAACUAGUAAUCCUACCCACGGUAGCCAUGUCGAUCGAUAGAGGGAUCGUCCAAAUCCGAGUACCAAAGCACCCAACAUUAGAGGCCUUUAUUUACCGGCCCUAUACAUGAUAGGAUACUAGGAUAAGCAUGUUGAUGGCGAUAGUACUACAUCUUUUUUAACUGAUGACUGGUAGUGAUUGCAGUCCAGUCAGGAAGUGCUAGGUUCAAACAAUGGGAUGCCGAACAGGGGAUAAUCUGACUCAAGCUCCCUAAUCCACCUGCUUGCAGUGGUAUCGGCAAUGGGAUAAUCAUAUAUCUAUGAAGUAUCACCUAGACACCUACUGUAUUUGUUUAUGUAGACUAAGACUCAUCUGUACUAAAAAGGGAUCCGAGUGGCAUAUCAUAUGGGGCCACUUGAGUCGCUGACGAUGGGCCAUAUAUGGUGGCAAAUUAUAUGCCACACACCCCUCAUAAUAAUGCAUCUUGGACGAUGAUGUGGGUUUCUUAUGCAGAUCACUGAAGUUGCGGAUGGGCAAAAUUAGAUUUUGGCUGCUCAAAUCUUAAGACUUUAUCUCUCCAUUUCAAAACACAAGUUAUUUCAGUUUCAUCCCAAAUCAAAAUUUUCCUAACUCAGAAAAAAAAUAUAAUCUUGUUGAGUAGUGCUUUGAAAAUAUAAUCUUGCUAAGCGAAAAUAGUAAAGUACUCAUUCAGUUUUAAACUAUAAGACUUUCUGGCUUAUAUAGUUUUUGCUACACACACCUAGAUACAAAUUAUGUCUAGAUGUGUAGUAAAAGCUAUGUAUCUAGAAAAAAAACUGAAUGUCUUACAAUUUAGAAUGCAUGGAACAGUAAAACUUUUUUUUUGUGAUGAUUAAGAUGGAGACAAUUAAACACUUGUUUUUUAACUGCCUUUUUGCUUGUUCCCAUAUAUGGCAUGUAUUUCAGGAAGCUUUGGAUCUAUAUUUGGGAAUUAGUUAGGAAACUUUAGUAAAGAAUUAAAACUGGUAAUACUGUUAGGGGGAGGGCCGGCCGCUAUGUGUUUGGCCUGUUGGGCACUUUGGUUUACCGGGAAUUCUUUUAGUAUUUCAAGGGAGGUUUCUUUUUCAGGUUUUAUUCUCGAUUAUCUGAUGCUCCGUACUUGGUUUAUUCUCCAGAAAUCAUAUACUUGGAGUUGCAACAGUUGGUGAGGGUGGCCAAUAGCGUUUUUCUUCUAGACACAUGGGUCGCAAUCUAGUAACUAAUAUAUUCACUAGAUUGUGUGUGUUUUUUUAUUACACCCACGUCAAAACUACUUUUUAAUUUUUUAAAAGUCUUUACAUACAUCCACUGGACUGAAUUUGCUCUUGGAAUCUUGAUACUUGAUAUAGCUUUCCCAUCUAGCUUUUCAUCACGAUGGCAUAAUCCCACAAAAGAAUUGCAAUCUACCUAGCUAGUGCCAUUCAGUCCAGCUUAUACUUUUUAUGAUUUAUCAAGUCCAUAAUUCACUGUUAAGGCUGCUACGUAGUUACCCUAGUAGUUUAUCUCAAGGUAGCUAGAUAUGUCACAUCUUUUUCUUUUUUUGAAACUAUAUGUCACAUCUUGGCCGUGCAUGCAUGGCGGCCUGCAGCCCUCUGUUUAGGACAGGCGUCGUGAAGAGGCGUGGAGGCUAUAAAAAAUGGUGGGCCCGGGUGGCCCAGUUCGUUCGUUCUUCGUUCUGUUGCCUCGCGUGGCUAUAAAAUGGCAGCUUGCUCGUUUGCAGAAGACACACACAGCAGUUCACAGUAACAGAUAGUCUUCUCAAUUCCCAUCCAUCGAUCUCUCGCCGUCGCCGAGCUCGAUAUCUCAGUCCAUCGAUCGCCAUGCGUCCACCGCGCUCCGCUGUGCCGGCCAUGGCGCUGGCGCUUGCGCUGGUCGUGGCACUACUGGCACUGGCCACCACGGCGGUGGCCCGCCACUCCUACACCACCACCAUCGUUCCGGCGCCGGCGGAGCGGGCGGACGAGGAGGUGCGGCGUAUGUACGAGGCGUGGAAGUCCAAGCACGGCCGGCCGCGCGGCAACUGCGACAUGGCCGGCGACGAGGACCGGCUGCGGCUUGAGGUGUUCCGCGACAACCUGCGGUACAUCGACGCGCACAACGCGGAGGCGGACGCCGGGCUGCACACCUUCCGCCUCGGCCUCACCCCCUUCGCCGACCUCACCCUCGAGGAGUACCGCGGCCGCGCCCUCGGCUUCCGCGCCCGCCACCGCGGCGGCCCGAGCGCGCGCGCGGCAGCCAGCAGGGUCGGGAGCGGCGGCACCCGCUCUCACCACCGUCGUCCCCGUCCCCGCCCCCGCUGCGGCGACCUCCCCGACGCCAUCGACUGGCGCCAGCUUGGCGCCGUCACCGACGUGAAGAACCAAGAACAA